GACGAACGCUGGCGGCGUGCUUAACACAUGCAAGUCGAACGGAAAGGCCCUGCUUUUGUGGGGUGCUCGAGUGGCGAACGGGUGAGUAACACGUGAGUAACCUGCCCUUGACUUUGGGAUAACUUCAGGAAACUGGGGCUAAUACCGGAUAGGAGCUCCUGCUGCAUGGUGGGGGUUGGAAAGUUUCGGCGGUUGGGGCUGGACUCGCGGCUUAUCAGCUUGUUGGUGGGGUAGUGGCUUACAAAGGCUUUGACGGGUAGCCGGCCUGGGAGGGUGACCGGCCACCUUGGGACUGAGAUACGGCCCAGACUCCUACGGGAGGCAGCAGUGGGGAAUAUUGCACAAUGGGCGGAAGCCUGAUGCAGCAACGCCGCGUGCGGGAUGACGGCCUUCGGGUUGUAAACCGCUUUCGCCUGUGACGAAGCGUGAGUGACGGUAAUGGGUAAAGAAGCACCGGCUAACUACGUG
rnacentral:rRNA from 1 species